GCGUGCCUAACACAUGCAAGUCGAACGGGAAUCUUCGGAUUCUAGUGGCGGACGGGUGAGUAACGCGUAAGAAUCUAACUUCAGGACGGGGACAACAGUUGGAAACGACUGCUAAUACCCGAUGUGCCGCAAGGUGAAAACUAAUUGGCCUGAAGAAGAGCUUGCGUCUGAUUAGCUAGUUGGUGGGGUAAGAGCCUACCAAGGCGACGAUCAGUAGCUGGUCUGAGAGGAUGAGCAGCCACACUGGGACUGAGACACGGCCCAGACUCCUACGGGAGGCAGCAGUGGGGAAUUUUCCGCAAUGGGCGAAAGCCUGACGGAGCAACGCCGCGUGAGGGAGGAAGGUCUUUGGAUUGUAAACCUCUUUUCUCAAGGAAGAAGUUCUGACGGUACUUGAGGAAUCAGCCUCGGCUAACUCCGUGCCAGCAGCCGCGGUAAUACGGGGGAGGCAAGCGUUAUCCGGAAUUAUUGGGCGUAAAGCGUCCGCAGGUGGUCAGCCAAGUCUGCCGUCAAAUCAGGUUGCUUAACGACCUAAAGGCGGUGGAAACUGGCAGACUAGAGAGCAGUAGGGGUAGCAGGAAUUCCCAGUGUAGCGGUGAAAUGCGUAGAGAUUGGGAAGAACAUCGGUGGCGAAAGCGUGCUACUGGGCUGUAUCUGACACUCAGGGACGAAAGCUAGGGGAGCGAAAGGGAUUAGAUACCCCUGUAGUCCUAGCCGUAAACGAUGGAUACUAGGCGUGGCUUGUAUCGACCCGAGCCGUGCCGAAGCUAACGCGUUAAG
rnacentral:rRNA from 1 species